UGCCAGCCGCCGCGGUAAUACGGAGGGUGCAAGCGUUAAUCGGAAUUACUGGGCGUAAAGCGCGCGUAGGCGGCUCUUUAAGUCGGAUGUGAAAGCCCCGGGCUCAACCUGGGAACUGCAUCCGAUACUGGAGGGCUAGAGUGUAGGAGAGGGAGGUAGAAUUCCAUGUGUAGCAGUGAAAUGCGUAGAUAUAUGGAGGAAUACCAGUGGCGAAGGCGGCCUCCUGGCUUAACACUGACGCUGAGGUGCGAAAGCGUGGGGAGCAAACGGGAUUAGAUA
rnacentral:rRNA from 1 species